GAUGAACGCUGGCGGCGUGCCUAAUACAUGCAAGUCGAGCGAACAGACGAGGAGCUUGCUCCUCUGACGUUAGCGGCGGACGGGUGAGUAACACGUGGAUAACCUACCUAUAAGACUGGGAUAACUUCGGGAAACCGGAGCUAAUACCGGAUAAUAUAUUGAACCGCAUGGUUCAAUAGUGAAAGACGGUUUUGCUGUCACUUAUAGCUGGAUCCGCGCCGCAUUAGCUAGUUGGUAAGGUAACGGCUUACCAAGGCAACGAUGCGUAGCCGACCUGAGAGGGUGAUCGGCCACACUGGAACUGAGACACGGUCCAGACUCCUACGGGAGGCAGCAGUAGGGAAUCUUCCGCAAUGGGCGAAAGCUUGACGGAGCAACGCCGCGUGAGUGAUGAAGGUCUUCAGAUCGUAAAACCCUGUUAUUAGGGAAGAACAAAUGUGUAAGUAACUAUGCACGUCUUGACGGUACCUAAUCAGAAAGCCACGGCUAACUACGUG
rnacentral:rRNA from 1 species